UAUAGGGAAGGCCAACAGCAAAGACAG
rnacentral:piRNA from 1 species